AUCCGUGACGAGCGCGGACGUGUCGUGUAGCUGCGUUAUUGCCUCACUGUGUGAGUGUGGUGUGAUGUAAAUACAAGAAGAGGUUUUGCAUAUUUACCGGUUCCUCAUCCAGGGAUUUAGAAUGGAAAUUAUGCAUAACCAAACUGUGAAACGGAUGUAAAAGGAAAAAAAAUCGACCAAUAAUCCAGCUAAGCUUUAAAGAGAAAUGUGUUGACAUGAUUCUUGCAGUUAAGAUUAAAAUGGCAUUGAGUUGCGGCAACUACCACUACUAUACUCUGGGAAACAAUAUUGAUCCACUGUAACAACUUAGAUUGAUACGUACAACCUGCUGUAAUUGUAGUGGGUGUGUUGACCUCCGAAUGGCGGCGACAGCCAACGUCAAUAACAUCCCAAGAAAAUAUUUUUCCUUCUCGCUCGUUCCAAGCUUUCUGUAGUACUCUACCGUCGUCGCCAGGGCGGGCAUUUCAAGUUUCCAGACCUCCAGGGUGCAGAUUCGUCGACUGCAAACCCCCCGGCAGCAGAUUACUUCUUCUUAGCGCCCAGAACACUAACAAGUCUUCUUAACCGUGUUCUUCCCGCUUGUCAAAGUGAACUGAUCUUGGUAGAUUUUUAACAUGCCUGGAAUUAUUGUGUUUCGACGACGCUGGUCAGUUGGUUCGGACGAUUUGGUGGUGCCAGGGGUCUUCCUGUUCAUUCUUCAUACUAUAUGGUACGUCAGGUGAAAGCUGAUGGGUGUGGGAAGUGGACAAAUGAGUCUGUAUCGAUGUGAAAUUGAAGCAUACGUCGGAAUGAACCUCCAGCGAAGGAAAAAGGAAGACCAGACGUUCUUCACUGUCACCGACGUAGAGGAAGGAAGUAUUUGCGUCCCUUUAAUGUGAUGGGGAAAACGGAGAUUGGUUGAGUAGGGAAAGGCAUUUUGGGAAGGUAUUUUAGUCACAGUGUCAUGCUUUUGAUGAGGGACACGUGGUUGAGUUGGUUUGGCUGUUCCCCCCCCCC